rnacentral:rRNA from 1 species
AGGGUUCGAUUCUGGCUCAGGAUGAACGCUGGCGGCGUGCUUAACACAUGCAAGUCGAACGGAGUUUUUAAACGGAAGUUUUCGGAUGGAAGUUUAAAAACUUAGUGGCGGACGGGUGAGUAACGCGUGGGUAACCUGCCUCAUACAGGGGGAUAACAGUUAGAAAUGACUGCUAACACCGCAUAAUAUAGCGAAACCGCAUGAUUUUUGCUAUCAAAUAUUUAUAGGUAUGAGAUGGGCCCGCGUCUGAUUAGCUAGUUGGUGGGGUAAAAGCCUACCAAGGCGACGAUCAGUAGCCGGCUUGAGAGAGUGACCGGCCACAUUGGGACUGAGACACGGCCCAAACUCCUACGGGAGGCAGCAGUGGGGAAUAUUGGACAAUGGGGGAAACCCUGAUCCAGCGACGCCCGCGUGAGUGAAGAAGUAUUUCGGUAUGUAAAGCUCUAUCAGCAGGGAAGAUAAUGACAGUACCUGACUAAGAAGCCCCGGCUAACUACGUGCCAGCAGCUGC